GACGUAGGGCGCGAGCGUUGUCCGGAUUUAUUGGGCGUAAAGAGCUCGUAGGCGGUCUGUCGCGUCGGAUGUGAAAGCCCGGGGCUUAACCCCGGGUCUGCAUUCGAUACGGGCAGACUAGAGUGUGGUAGGGGAGAUCGAAUUCCUGGUGUAGCGGUGAAAUGCGCAGAUAUCAGGAGGAACACCGGUGGCGAAGGCGGAUCUCUGGGCCAUUACUGACGCUGAGGAGCGAAAGCGUGGGGAGCGAACAGG
rnacentral:rRNA from 1 species